rnacentral:rRNA from 1 species
AAUAUUGGACAAUGGGGGCAACCCUGAUCCAGCCAUGCCGCGUGGGGGAAGAAGGCCUUAGGGUUGUAAAACCCUUUCAGCGGGGAAGAUGAUGACGGUACCCGCAGAAGAAGCCCCGGCUAACUCCGUGCCAGCAGCCGCGGUAAUACGGAGGGGGUUAGCGUUGUUCGGAAUUACUGGGCGUAAAGGGCGUGUAGGCGGUUUGUCUAGUCAGGCGUGAAAGCCCCGGGCUCAACCUGGGAACUGCGUUUGAUACUGGCAGGCUAGAGGUUGGAAGAGGAGAGUGGAAUUCCCAGUGUAGAGGUGAAAUUCGUAAAUAUUGGGAAGAACACCAGUGGCGAAGGCGGCUCUCUGGUCCAUACCUGACGCUGAGGCGCGAAAGCGUGGGGAGCAAACAGGAUUAGAUACCCUGGUAGUCCACGCCGUA